UACGUAGGGGGCGAGCGUUAUCCGGAUUUACUGGGUGUAAAGGGCGUGUAGGCGGGACUGCAAGUCAGAUGUGAAAACCAUGGGCUUAACUCAUGGCCUGCAUUUGAAACUGUAGUUCUUGAGUGCUGGAGAGGCAAGCGGAAUUCCUAGUGUAGCGGUGAAAUGCGUAGAUAUUAGGAAGAACACCAGUGGCGAAGGCGGCUUGCUGGACAGUAACUGACGCUAAGGCGCGAAAGCGUGGGGAG
rnacentral:rRNA from 1 species